GAUGAACGCUAGCUACAGGCUUAACACAUGCAAGUCGAGGGGAAACGGCAUCGAAAGCUUGCUUUUGAUGGGCGUCGACCGGCGCACGGGUGAGUAACGCGUAUCCAACCUGCCCAUCACUUGGGAAUAACCUUGCGAAAGUAAGACUAAUACCCAAUGACAUCCCACGAAGACAUCUGAAUGGGAUUAAAGAUUUAUUGGUGAUGGAUGGGGAUGCGUCUGAUUAGCUUGUUGGCGGGGUAACGGCCCACCAAGGCAACGAUCAGUAGGGGUUCUGAGAGGAAGGGCCCCCACAUUGGAACUGAGACAAGGUCCAAACUCAUACGGGAGGCAGCAGUGAGGAAUAUUGGUCAAUGGGCGAGAGCCUGAACCAGCCAAGUAGCGUGCAGGAUGACGGCCCUAUGGGUUGUAAACUGCUUUUAUAAGGGAAUAAAGUGGGUCUCGUGAGACUUUUUGCAUGUACCUUAUGAAUAAGGACCGGCUAAUUCCGUG
rnacentral:rRNA from 1 species